AAUAAGCCUGGUCCUGACUUUAAUUUCAGUUCUGGCCUGAAUUAUACAUGCAAGUACCCGCGCCCCUGUGAGAAUGCUCUUAGCCCCCCGCCCCAACGGAGGAAAGACGCCGGCAUCAGGCACACUUUAUAGUAGCCCAAAACGCCUUGCUCAGCCACACCCCCAAAGGGAAUUCAGCAGUGAUUAACAUUAAGACAUGAGCGAAAGCUCGAAUUACUUAAGGCCAAACAAGAGCCGGUAAAACUCGUGCCAGCCACCGCGGUUAUACGAGUGGCUCAAAUUGAAAUUCCACGGCGUAAAGCGUGAUUAGAGAAAGAAGAACUAAAGCCAAAAAUACCCCCUGCUGUUAUACGCUUACGGGGAAAGAGGCCCCACACGAAAGUAGCUUUAAUUAAUAUUGAAUUCACGACCAUUGAGAAACAAACUGGGAUUAGAUACCCCACUAUGCUCAAUAGUAAACAAAGAUGGAGAAUUACGAAUACCAUCCGCCAGGGGACUACGAGCACCAGCUUGAAACCCAAAGGACUUGGCGGUGUCUCAAACCCACCUAGAGGAGCCUGUUCUAUAACCGAUAACCCCCGUUAAACCUCACCACCCCUUGUCUCAACAGUAUAUAUACCGCCGUCGCCAGCUUACCUCAUGAGAGAUAAAGAAGUAAGCCAAACGGGCCCAGCCCAGAACGUCAGGUCGAGGUGUAGCAAAUGAGGUGGGAAGAAAUGGGCUACAUUUUCUGACACAGAAUACUACGAAAGGUGUAAUGAAAAAAACACAAUUGAAGGUGGAUUUAGCAGUAAAGAAGGGACAUGAGAACCCUCUUGAAGCCGGCUCUGAGGCGCGUACAUACCGCCCGUCACCCUCGUCAAAUUUUCGCCAGGAAAUUAAUAUAUAAUACCAAAAACAGAAAUAGAGGAGGCAAGUCGUAACAUGGUAAGUGUACCGGAAGGUGCACUUGGAAUAAUU
rnacentral:ncRNA from 1 species